CACCAUUACGACUACAAGUUCACAACCGUACGUACUAUCAGUUGUUGCGUACAUUACAAUCUAUUGAGAUAUAUACGCUUCAAACGUUUUAAUAUAAUAUUCGAUAUUAUAUUUUUUCUUCGACAUCCACCAAAAUUACGGAUGUCAUGAGCGACCGCAAGAAAUACGAUUUCGAUCCAGACAAGGACAUUUUUAUAAAUGGUUAUGAAUGCGGGCUCAGACCAGAGCGAAUACUUGCGAUUGUUCAAAUGCGAGGAUUAAGUUAUUGUUUAAUGAAGUGGAAUGAAACCGAGGACGCAUCAUAUGUCACAUUCAAUUUUGCAAGAGAUAAAUUUCCAGUGACCGUGAUAAUGUUUUAUGAACAACUUGUUCGUCAGGAUUUAAGAGAAUAAAUAAUACUCUUAUUGUUUAAUAAGGCACAGAUAGUGUGUAUAUCAAUAAAGGAAAAAAAUGAUGUAUUAAGAAACACAAAAUUAUGAUUUUUAACAGUAUCUUACAAAAUAUAAUAGUGCAACUGAAAUAAAAUUGGUUUCAAAACCAAUUCCAGUAAAUAAGACUGGAGAAAAAAAGGCAAUGGUAUUUAAUUUCCCACCAAACAAAUUAAAAUCUUAAAGGUUCUGUUUCAAGAAAUCAUCUAUAAAACGCUCCAAAGCAAAUGUCAAUAUAUCAAUAAACACAGAAAAUUGUAUAUUAUAUAUAUUUUUUUAUUACUAUUAUUUCU